GUAGCCAACACUCGGCGGGAAAGCCGCCCUGCUAGGACUAGGUGGACUGGGAGGACUUGGGCUGGUGCUGUGCUAGGAUAAGGGCACCAGCUCCGUUUCCUUUAUCCUUCUGUCUCACCAAACGAUUUACCUGUGCAGUUAUAAAGUGCAAGCUGGUUGCCUAAGGUCUUCACGCUGAUUUCCUGUUCUCCUACACGCCUGUGAAAACUCUUACUAAGAACCCUCCAAGGGGUCAAGAAUGCUGACACUGACCAGGCUGCUUUCCUGCCUCUUCCAGGUUGGAACUCCCGUCUCGAUCUGGAACGGCUGCCGGGAGGAACAUGCUGCUGGGCAUCACCAUCUCGGGGGUGGUCACCUGAGG